rnacentral:rRNA from 3 species
GGCGUCCGAGUUGUAAUUUGUAGAGGAUGCUAUUGGGUUGCCACCGGUCUAAGUUCCUUGGAACAGGACGUCACAGAGGGUGAGAAUCCCGUACGUGACCGGCCAGGCGCUCUCUGUAUAGCUCCUUCGACGAGUCGGGUUGUUUGGGAAUGCAGCCCUAAAUGGGAGGUAAAUUUCUUCUAAAGCUAAAUACCGGCCAGAGACCGAUAGCGCACAAGUAGAGUGAUCGAAAGAUGAAAAGCACUUUGGAAAGAGAGUUAAAAAGCACGUGAAAUUGUUGAAAGGGAAGCGCUUGCAAUCAGUCUCGACGGCGGCUGUUCGGCCUCUCUUCUGAGUGGUUUAUUCAGUCGCCGCCGGGCCAGCAUCAGUUUCGGCGGCCGGACAAAGGCGCGGGGAAUGUAGCUCCCUCGGGAGUGUUAUAGCCCCGCGCGCAAUACGGCCCGCCGGGACUGAGGUCCGCGCUUCGGCUAGGAUGCUGGCGAAAUGGUUGUAAGCGGCCCGUCUUGAAACACGGACCAAGGAGUCUAACAUCUACGCGAGUGUUUGGGUGUCAAACCCGUGCGCGCAAUGAAAGUGAACGGAGGUGGGAACCGCAAGGUGCACCAUCGACCGAUCCUGAUGUCUUCGGAUGGAUUUGAGUAAGAGCGUAGCUGUUGGGACCCGAAAGAUGGUGAACUAUGCCUGAAUAGGGUGAAGCCAGAGGAAACUCUGGUGGAGGCUCGCAGCGGUUCUGACG